rnacentral:rRNA from 1 species
UACGAAGGGGGCUAGCGUUGCUCGGAAUCACUGGGCGUAAAGGGCGCGUAGGCGGCCAUUCAAGUCAGAGGUGAAAGCCCAAGGCUCAACCUGGGAACUGCAUUUGUGACUGCAUGGCUAGAGUACGGCAGAGGGGGGAUGGAAUUCCGCGUGUAGCAGUGAAAUGCGUAGAUAUGCGGAGGAACACCGAUGGCGAAGGCAGCCCCCCUGGGUCAACACUGACGCCUCAUGCACGAAAGCGUGGGGAGCAAACAGG